rnacentral:RNase_P_RNA from 1 species
CAAGGUGGUCGGAUAGCUGCGUUGAAGUUUUCUUCAAUGAGGAAAGUCCGAGCGUUUUGGAAACAAGAUACCGGAUAACGUCCGGCUGGAGAAAUCCAAGGGAAAGUGCCACAGAAAAGUACCGCCAAAUAAAUUUUGGUAAGGUUGAAAAGGCGAGGUAAGAGCUCACCGCGAGCAUAGUAAUAUGCUUGGCAAGGUAAACCCUAUCUGACGCAAGACCAAAUAAGGAGAAUAGUUUUUGCUAUUUACUGAGCGUUUCCACUCUGCUCCAGAGGUAGGUCGCAUGAAUUUGCUGGUGACAGUAAAUCUAGAUGAAUAGCUAUCGCUUUAAUCUUCACAAUAGUGAAGCAAAUGAAAAGUACAGAACUCGGCUUAUAGACCACCUAAUAUU